rnacentral:lncRNA from 1 species
GGGCAGUGACUGCUGCCUCUUUCUCAGUUCAGUGCAGGGAGGCCGUAUGCUCUCCCAUAUGGUGCUGAGAAGGACAAUCACGUAUCUGACCCUGGAGGGUAUGGAGACUCUGCGUCCUUGGUUAGCCCCUGGCAGUCACCACAAAAGCACGGUCUGCUGGUCCACUACAUUCUUGAGCUCAUCAGCCUGCGGCCAUUUUUGCAUUAUUUCUUUUGGGGAGUCGAUUUGCCAGGCGCUUGCAGCCUAUGGGGGGAUGGCACAGAGUCCAGGGUUUGGGAGGAGAGAUGGCCUGAAUCCACGGCAGCAGCAGGACAGGCCCCGGGCGGUAAAGAUGGAAUCCAUUCAUUUGGAGAAGCAGAGGGAACUUGGCAGAAAGGAUCAAAUGGAAAAUACUCCCGGCAGCCUGAAGUCAGCCGUCUACCCAAACAGAGGGGGCCCUGCCCCAGGAGACCGGCUUAGAGUUGCUGCUGUUUUUAGUAAUCGAGGCCCUGAGAAUGAUUAAACCAUCAAACUCGGCCACUCAGAGAGUAUUUUCACACGAGCCAAAUGGACCUCCAUGUACAAUCGCUCUUACUUACUGUGGAGAAGGCAGAAUUCUAUUCUCGUAUUUUAUGUUUUUUAAAGAGGCAAUUUCAAUUCUUUCAUGUGAUAGAAAAUGUUCGACACAAAUUAACAUUCCUGACAAAAGGGCUGUCGAUCAAGUGAGAAAAGCAUUCAGCUUGCGAUGCGAGCAGGACUGGAUCGGCAGCACGAGAACUGCUGAGAAGGGAGGCUGGGGAGACGAGACUCCACCCUGCACCCACCGGCAGGCCGCUCCGGAUCCUGAGAGGAAGGCACCGGGCCCUCGGCCUCUCUGGUCUACACGCUGACCCUCUGCGCAGGACGCUGGAGGAACACAGCGGGAGAUUUGCUGGAAUCUUUUUCCAGCUUGAGAUUUGAAUAUGUUCCUUAACUUCCUCAAGAAAGGCCCCUGCACAGAUCAAUAUUCACUUAACAAAUAUUUAUGGACUAUUCAUCCUACUAUGUGCCAAGUAUUGGUCUAGACGUUGGGUGUGAAUAAGAUAUAAAAGGUCCCUGCCCCACUGAGCUCACCUUCUAGAAGGGAGAAGACGGACAGUCAGUGGGUAAACAAACAAAAGAGACUGUUUGAAAUGUAUAUGCGCUGUGGAGGAAUUUAAGCAGGAUAAAAAUAAGAAAGAAUAGCUGUGUUGAGGGUGGGGGGGCACUUCAGACGGGGGUCAGGAAGAGCUGAGACCUGAAUUCUGUCCUGUCCCUUCUGGAGGACCAGCCAGCCACAUUAAGAGGCAGGUAAGUGUUCCCAGCAGAGAAGGGAAAGUGCGAAGGUGCGGAGGCGGGUCAGACUGGCCUGUUAAAACCGGAGCCAGGCCAGGUCAGCGCUGGCUGUGAUCGAGCAGGGAGGAAGGGCAGCAGAGAGAGCCAGGCAGGAGCCAGAUCACGCACAGCCCCUUCGGUUGUGGACUGGAGCCCAUGUCUCAUUUUUAAAUCAGCUUUAUUGGGACGUAAUUUACACAGAAUAAAAUUCACUAAUUUUAAACAUACAAUUUGAUGGGUUUUGGGAUAUGUGUAGGUUGUACAACCACCAACAUAAGCACGACACUGCACAUUUCCACCACCUCAAAAAGUUCCCUCCUGCCCCUUUGCAGGCAACCCUCAGCCCGGCCCUGGUCCCCAGUAACGAGUGGAGUCUGCUUCCUGUCACUCUGCUUCUGCCCUUUCUGAAACACCAUAUAAAUGGAAUCAUGCAGUAUGAAGCUGGCAGCCUUCUAAAAUGGCUCCCAAUGACCCCUGCCUCCUGGUCUUGUGCAAACCCUUCCCCUGGCGUACGGUCUGGACCGCGUGACUUGUUCCAAUGACGCGUCCAAAAGCGAUGAGACACUGCUUCCGAGGACAGCUGGUAAAGCUGCCGUCUUGCCGACUCUCUCUCUCCCUGGCUCACUUCCAUGAGGCCAGCUGCUGUGUCACGAGCUGAUGUGGCAAGAGGCUCACGGGACAAGGAACCGGGAGACCAGGCCUCCGUCCAACAGACGGCGAGGAGCUGACUCCCGACACGGCAGGAGUAAGCUGGGAGGUGGGUCCUGCCCCGCUGAACCUCGAGAUGCCGGUACCCUGGCCACCAUCUUGACUGCAGCUUUGUGAGAGACACUGAGCCACAAAAACUGGGGGAGAACCGUGCUGUUUGAAGCCACGCGUCUUGCGGGAAUUUGUCAGGCAGCAGGGGACCAUGGGACAGCAGGCUAUGUGUCUGACUUCUCUCACUUUGCAGACCGUGUUUGAGCUUCAUCCACGGUGUUGCCUGGACCAGUCGUUUAUUUGUUGCUGCUGAGGAGCAUUCCACUGAUGAAUAUACCUCAAUCUGUGUAGCUACUCACCUGCCCGUGCACGUCUGGGCUGUGUCUGGCUUUUGGUUAUUAGGAGUAAAGCUGCUUUGAACACUCAAGUAUAAGUCUUUGUGUGGACACACGUUUUCACUUCUCUUGAAUAAGUACCUAGAUAUGGGACUGUGGGGCUGUAAGUGGAAUGUAUGUUUAACUUUAUAAGAAACCGCCACUCUGUUUUCCAACGUGGCUGCACCAUUUUGUAUUCCCACCAGCGAUGUAGGAGAUUUUAAGAUGCCCUGCCUCCUCAUCAACACUUGACUGUGUCUCUAAUUUUGGCCGUUCCUGUCGCUAUGCAGAGACAUCCCACUGGGAAUUGACUGUGCAUUUUCUCAAUGGCUAACGACACUGAGCAUCUUUUCAUGCGCUUAUUUAUUUGUUCAAAUCUUUUGUCCAUAUUUAAAAAUGAGAUUGUUGGUCUUCCUAUUAUUGUAAGCAUUCUUUAUAUGUUGUAGAUACAAGUCCUUUGUUGGAUAUAUGUUUUGCAAAUAUUUUCUCCCAGUCUGGGGUUUGCCUACUCAUUUUCUCUUAUUUAUUUAUCUAUUUAUUUACUUGAGUUCAUAAUAGUUACAUCAUUGUGAAAUUUCAGUUGUACAUUAUUUCUUGUCUGUCACCACAUAGGUGCUCCCUUCAUCCCCUGUGCCCACACGCCACCACCCUUCUCCUGGUAACCACUGAAUUGUUUUCUUUGUCCAUGUGUUGUUUAUAUUCCACAUAUGAGUGAAAUCAUCUGGUGUUUGUCUUUCUUAGUCUGGCUUAUUUGGCUAAGCAUAGUUCCCUCCAGGUCCUUCCAUGUUGCAAAUGGGAUGACUUUGUCGUUUUUCUGGCUGAGUAGUAUUCCAUUGUAUAUAUACACCACAUGUUCUUUAUCCAAUCAUCAGUCGAUGGGCAUUUGGAUUGCUUCCAUGUCUUGGCUAUUGUGAAUAGUGCUGCAAUGAACAUAGGGGUGCAUAGGUCACUUUAGAUUGUUGAUUUCAAGUUAUUUGGGUAGAUACCCAGUAGUGGGAUAGCUGG